UGCCUGCUUUGUGGGACCUUUGAAUUUGGCCUUUUGGAGAGAAGUUGUUUUUACAUCCACGUUCCCAUCGCUGAGUGCAUUCAUCCUGGAGACCUUCAUUCACUGAGCUUGUGACUUAAAUCCUACCUCCCUUUCUUCCCACAAGGUUCAGGAUAUAGUUGAUCAGACGCUAUUAGAUCCCUGUAUCUUGUGCCAUCCGUGGAUGUCGUGGCCGUCAGUCCUGCGAUUGAGAAUGAUAAUGCAGAUACAGCCAGAGGUACUCCUGCAACUAAAAAAAAAGAGAGAGAGAAAGAAAACAAAGCCUUUUUUCUACUUUGAAGUU